CGUCCCUACGGGGGGCAGCAGUGAGGAAUAUUGGUCAAUGGGAGAGAUCCUGAACCAGCCAAGCCGCGUGAGGGAAGACGGCCCUAUGGGUUGUAAACCUCUUUUGUCGGAGAACAAAACCCGGGACGAGUCCCGGACUGCGUGUAUCCGAAGAAAAAGCAUCGGCUAACUCCGUGCCAGCAGCCGCGGUAAUACGGAGGAUGCGGGCGUUAUCCGGAUUUAUUGGGUUUAAAGGGUGCGUAGGCGGUCCGUUAAGUCAGCGGUAAAAUUGAGGGGCUCAACCCCGUCCAGCCGUUGAACAUGGG
rnacentral:rRNA from 1 species